CAUUCGGAAGCUCAACAGGUAGAGCAGCCGGCGCAAGCCGGUGUGUGGCGGGUUCGAAUCCCGUCCGAAUAC
rnacentral:tRNA from 4 species